GGAAUUGACGGGACCCGCACAAGCAGCGGAGCGUGUGGUUUAAUUCGUUGCUACACGAGAACCUUACCUGGGUUUGACAUAUAGGUUGUAGGGAACUGAAAGGGACCGACCCUUCGGGAGCCUAUACAGGUGUUGCAUGGCUGUCGUCAGCUCGUGUCGUGAGAUGUUCGGUUAAGUCCGCUAACGAGCGCAACCCUCGUCGUAUGUUAUAUGUGUCAUACGAGACUGCCGGUAAAAGCCGGAGGAAGGUGAGGAUGAUGUCAAGUCAGCAUGACCUUUAUAUCCAGGGCUACACACACGCUACAAUUGGUCUGUACAAUGGGUAGCCAAGCCGCGAGGCGGAGCCAAUCCUGAAAGCAGGCCUCAGUUCAGAUUGCAGUCUGCAACUCGACUGCAUGAAGCCGGAGUUGUUAGUAACCGCAGGUCAGCAAUACUGCGGUGAAUACGUUCCCGGGUCUU
rnacentral:rRNA from 1 species